AUCCCAGACUCCUACGGGAGGCAGCAGUGGGGAAUAUUGGACAAUGGGGGGAACCCUGAUCCAGCGACGCCGCGUGAGUGAAGAAGUAUUUCGGUAUGUAAAGCUCUAUCAGCAGGGAAGAAAGAAAUGGCGGUACCUGGCUAAGAAGCCCCGGCUAACUACGAGCCAGCAGCCGCGGGAAUACGGAGGGGGCAAGCGUUAUCCGGGUUUAAUGGGUGUAAAGGGUGCGUAGACGGCUAUGCAAGUCUGGAGUGAAAGGCGGGGGCCCAACCCCCGGACUGCUCUGGAAACUGUAGAGCUAGAGUGCAGGAGAGGUAAGUGGAAUUCCUAGUGUAGCGGUGAAAUGCGUAGAUAUUAGGAGGAACACCAGUGGCGAAGGCGGCUUACUGGACUGUAACUGACGUUGAGGCUCGAAAGCGUGGGGAGCAAACAGGAUUAGAUACCCGAGUAC
rnacentral:rRNA from 1 species